rnacentral:rRNA from 1 species
CGCGUGCACUGGUCCGGCCGGGCCUUUCCCUCUGCGGAACCCCAUGCCCUUCACUGGGCGUGGCGGGGAAACAGGACUUUUACUUUGAAAAAAUUAGAGUGCUCAAGGCAGGCCUAUGCUCGAAUACAUUAGCAUGGAAUAAUGAAAUAGGACGUUGCGGUUCUAUUUUGUUGGUUUCUAGGACUGCCGUAAUGAUUAAUAGGGACAGUCGGGGGCAUCAGUAUUCAAUUGUCAGAGGUGAAAUUCUUGGAUUUAUUGAAGACUAACUACUGCGAAAGCAUUUGCCAAGGAUGUUUUCAUUAAUCAGGAACGAAAGUUAGGGGAUCGAAGACGAUCAGAUACCGUCGUAGUCUUAACCAUAAACUAUGCCGACUAGGGAUCGGACGAUGUUAUAUUUUUUGACGCGUUCGGCACCUUACGAGAAAUCAAAGUGCUUGGGCUCCAGGGGGAGUAUGGUCGCAAGGCUGAAACUUAAAGAAAUUGACGGAAGGGCACCACCAGGGGUGGAGCCUGCGGCUUAAUUUGACUCAACACGGGGAAACUCACCAGGUCCAGACACAAUGAGGAUUGACAGAUUGAGAGCUCUUUCUUGAUUUUGUGGGUGGUGGUGCAUGGCCGUUCUUAGUUGGUGGAGUGAUUUGUCUGCUUAAUUGCGAUAACGAACGAGACCUUAACCUGCUAAAUAGCCCGUGCUGCUUUGGCAGCACGCCGGCUUCUUAGAGGGACUAUCGG